AAAAUUAACAUUUUAAUUUGUAACGACCUAGUUUAGGUUAACACUAGCUUAAUUUCAAUAGUGUACAAAAAAUUUUGCUUCUACAUAGCUUCAUUGCCCUCCACCUACACCGUUCUUGUUCAAACUGCAUUUUUAUCCAUUGUGUGUCCAUUAACAUAGAUUUAUAACUAUUGCUUCUCAGGUCUUUUUUUGGCAUACACGUAUCCCUGGGUAUUUAUGUUGCCUUCUGGAUUCCCAGAAAUAUAUCAGAGCUUUCAAAUCCUUGUGGACAUCUCAUUCCCCAGCCUUUCCUACUAAGCUUUUUGGUUAGACUAUUGUUUGCCUCAACUUUCAUCCAGUGCCUCAGGCAGCAGUGACUAAAACAUUUGCCCGUAAAUGUUUUUGAUAAACAGCACCCACUCUCCACCCCUGGACUAGUUCUGAGUUAGGCAAAAUAAAGACAAUCUUUCUGAGUUGAUCUUACAGGGAACCACAAGAUUGGUCAAAACAAAUAAUUACUUUUUUUUUUAAUGAAUUAGGUCUGGUCUAAUCCCUCCACCACCAGCAGUAUAGGUUAUUAUUUGCAAAACUACAACUGAGCUGGAGAGUGGGAGAUGGGACUGGGGCUGGAUUCCUAGAAGACAGGAAUUUAUGGUGUGAGAGCUCCAGCCCCCGCAAACCCACAGCCAAGGUCAACAGCACGAGGCGGGCAGCGCUGCCAAGCAAGGAGGGGAGCCCAGAAAACCAAAGUCUCAUUUGUGGAUUGCUUUCCUGAAAGUUGUCUGGAGAGAAACAUUUCAGCUGUGAAACCCCAGGUAUCC